rnacentral:lncRNA from 1 species
UCAAAUACUAGAGAGAGGAACAUUUUUCAUAUUCUUUCUUAAAUGCUCUUGCCCUACUCAUGGCUUGUUAAACACUUAGAUUCACAAGAUAAAGCAAUCACUUGCCGAAAUGAGAACAGUUAGGAGGUCGACUUGAAGAUUUUUAGGUUAUUUUUGACCUAAAGAUGAGGAGGAAAGCCACCAUGGGAAGUCCUAAGGAGUAGCUGCAGAUAGCCCCCUGCAUUCAAUUGUUUACUCUUCGGAUUGUGAAAUGGUUGUGGAUAGCCCCCUUGAUUACUCUUUCUUACCCUUCUCUUUAUGUUAAAUUGUUGUUUUCUAUGUCGGGAGACAAGAUUGCAUCUCAUCUUUAUAUUUUCAGUUUAAUAUGACAUGACUUAAUUUUGUUUAAUCAAAAUAGAUAUGAGUCUUGAUUUGGUUUUUAUUGGUGAUUGUCUCUUGAAUAUUCUAUGCUAAUGAUUAUUUCAUUCAUUUAGGUUUAAAUCAUGUUUAUACUUGUGAAUGUAUGGCCAACAUUUGUAGGUAAUUGAAUUAACUAUUUAAUUUGGGAAGAGACAAUAGUUAAU